CGGACGGGUGAGUAAUGUCUGGGAAACUGCCUGAUGGAGGGGGAUAACUACUGGAAACGGUAGCUAAUACCGCAUAACGUCUACGGACCAAAGUGGGGGACCUUCGGGCCUCAUGCCAUCAGAUGUGCCCAGAUGGGAUUAGCUAGUAGGUGGGGUAAUGGCUCACCUAGGCGACGAUCCCUAGCUGGUCUGAGAGGAUGACCAGCCACACUGGAACUGAGACACGGUCCAGACUCCUACGGGAGGCAGCAGUGGGGAAUAUUGCACAAUGGGCGCAAGCCUGAUGCAGCCAUGCCGCGUGUGUGAAGAAGGCCUUCGGGUUGUAAAGCACUUUCAGCGAGGAGGAAGGGUUCAGUGUUAAUAGC
rnacentral:rRNA from 1 species